CCUGAACGCUGGCGGCGUGGCUAAGACAUGCAAGUCGUACGGAUGGAGCAAUCCAUCAGUGGCGGACGGGUGAGUAAUGUAUCGCUAAUGUACCCUUCACUCUGGGAUAGCUGUGGGAAACUACAGGUAAUACCAGAUGACAUAACCGAAUCGCAUGGUUUGGUUCUCAAAGGAGCAAUACGGUGAGGGAGCAGGCGAUAUCGUAUCAGCUAGUUGGUGAGGUAACGGCUCACCAAGGCGACGACGCGUAGCUGGUCUGAGAGGACGGCCAGCCACAUUGGGACUGAGACACUGCCCAGACUCCUACGGGGGGCUGCAGUAACGAAUCUUCCGCAAUGCACGCAAGUGUGACGGAGCGACGCCGCGUGGAGGUUAAGUCCUGG
rnacentral:rRNA from 1 species